GUAGGUGGCAAGCGUUGUCCGGAAUUAUUGGGCGUAAAGCGCGCGCAGGCGGUCCUUUAAGUCUGAUGUGAAAGCCCACGGCUCAACCGUGGAGGGUCAUUGGAAACUGGGGGACUUGAGUACAGAAGAGGAAAGCGGAAUUCCAAGUGUAGCGGUGAAAUGCGUAGAGAUUUGGAGGAACACCAGUGGCGAAGGCGGCUUUCUGGUCUGUAACUGACGCUGAGGCGCGAAAGCGUGGGGAGCAAACAGGAUUAGAUACCCUGGUAGUCCACGCCGUAAACGAUGAGAGCUAAGUGUUAGGGGGUUUCCCGCCCCCUUAGUGCUGCAGCUAACGCAUUAAGCACUCCGCCUGGGGAGUACGGCCGCAAGGCUG
rnacentral:rRNA from 1 species